rnacentral:rRNA from 1 species
UACGUAGGGUGCGAGCGUUAAUCGGAAUUACUGGGCGUAAAGCGUGCGCAGGCGGUUUUGUAAGCCAGAUGUGAAAUCCCCGGGCUUAACCUGGGAAUGGCAUUUGGGACUGCAAGGCUGGAGUGUGGCAGAGGAGACUGGAAUUCCUGGUGUAGCAGUGAAAUGCGUAGAUAUCAGGAGGAAUACCGAUGGCGAAGGCAGGUCUCUGGGCUGACACUGACGCUCAUGCACGAAAGCGUGGGGAGCAACAGG